AGUUCAUAUGGUUGAGAUUGUUAUUAUUAUUCAGGACUGCUCUUUGAAUUCAUUCUAAUACGAGUGGCAGUGGGGACAAGAGAUUGGCUCCAGGCUCCACAUCCCUUAGGCUUGGGUCUCCGGGAUUCCUCCUCUUUGGUUUACCCACCAUCAGUCCUCAGUGUCCUCAAGCGAAGACUUCACUAGCACAUUUCUGCUGAAUCCUCAAAGUUACUGGUUUGGUUUCUCCUCUGAUUAGAAGGUACAGUAAGAGCCAUAAAUCAUACGGAUCCAGAAUGCUGCAGAGAAUUGCGCAUGCCUCCUACUGAAAUGAAGCAUCCACCCAAGGACACUGAGCGGCGUCCAGGACCAGUGGCGAGGCUGCUCCCCAGGCUGCACUUCCACAAGGAAGCCUCCCCGGCGGGAUACUUGUGCCCUUCUUCGGCCUCCAACUUGCUGCCUCUUCCCCACUGUAGCUCCCACGGCUCUUUAUGGUGCUGAUGUUUCACCCAUCUGGCACCUCCUCUGGGCUCUAAAUUCCUUGAGAGUCGCAAGCAGAUUUUAUCUGUGGAACUCCCGGGCCUGGUACAGCACCUGAAACAUGCAGACACUCAACCAAUGUUUGUUAACUGAAUGCGUACGCACAUGAAUGAACCAAGUGUGGAACCAGGGUCAGGGCUGAACUUACCCAUCAGCUGCACUAAAGUGAAUUGAUGCAUAUGUUUCAACCAUCCUUUUGACCAGGUCAAUCUCUCUAAACCAAUGGCUCUUUGACCCACGUUCCUCCGUCUUAGGGCCCCCGACGCCUCCGCUGCGAACAAGAGAGUCCUGAGCAGGCCGAGUUCUGGGCCAGCUCUCUGCUCAGCGGACCACAGCACCUCUACGCUUAUUUGUUCCAGCACCGGGCUUACAGUGCGAAUUUCCCAAAGAGCUCUGGAGCUUUAUUACCUCUGAAAUCACUAGUCUAAAUGUCAGUAACCCCUGCGAUAUGUUUUGUUAACUCUACGUGCGUGGCUGCCGUCCUGCGUUACAGGGUGUUUCUUUGCGCGGUUCUGUUUGUUCUGUGUCCUGUUUGUUCCGAUCUUGGGAGAUGUGGAUGACGUCAGCAGACGCAAAUUGGUAAAUCUGGUAUAUUGUGCCCGAUUGCUCUUUAACUGCAGAUGAGAUCGCUUUCACCGCCACCGAUUUCUGUUUCCUGAUAAACAGACAUCUCACCCGCCAUGGUCCAGGUUCCCCUUAACAGUGGAUUUGGAGGAAACCACCUGUCCCGGGAGCCUCGCUGCCUUCCGCCUUCCGUCUCGGGCAGGUGAAGAGUGACGGGUCCGCCGAGAAUGAACACAAGCUGUUGUUUUUGAGUUUUCCAAAUAUUUUCCGACUCCUAUUGUGUGCUUUUGUGUUUUGUACUCAGAAACCCCUGCCAAGAACUCCCCCGACGGCAUUCCUUCCUGGGCCCUAAAUCAUUUGGACAGCAAACAAAACUUCUCAUAGGUCACUCAUCUCAAGGAGAUGUAUUUGUUAAAUAUGAAGAGAUGACUAGGACACACACACACACAUAUAUGUAUAUAUAUAUUACCACUUUUGGGUCCACGAAUUUUUUUUUGGAAAUAAGAGCUUUGCUAGCUGCAUUUGUAAUCUACUUCUGACUUGCGUCUUUAGGACAGUGUUCAGAUACUUAAAUGUAUCUAAAAUGAAAUGCUCCUGUGGAGUUAGUAGGUAUAGAUGUUGAGGGAAGGUUGACAGAACAAGUGAGAGUAGAAAGCUGGAUAACCUUAAAUAGAAAGUACAAACAUAUAUGCAUUGCUGUUUUUCUGAUAUAUGUUUAUGUCUGUUUAUAUAUGUGUAUUAUCUGUUAUGUGCUGUUUUCCUGAGAGAGAGAGAGAUAUAUAUAAGAAAGAAAAUUUAUAUAUAUAUUUUUUCUUUCUUCUUUCUUUCUUUCUUUCUUUCUUUCUUUCCU